rnacentral:lncRNA from 1 species
AAGAAAAGGACUUGGGAUCAUCUUCCUCUUCAUAAACAAAACCUAAAAAGACCCUACACCCUCUAGGAUCCUUCAGUCGAAAAUACACAUAAAAGCCUAGACCUAGGGACAAAAAAUGGGAAGUCAGUCGCAACACCUCACACAGACAGAAAUCUUUCUCCGUGAAAUCAUCAUUAACUAUUCCGAUGCAUUAAGCGAGAUCCGCUUUGAGAGUUUGAUUGACAAAACGCCGAGAACGAGCUGAAAAAUAGCAGCGACAAAAGAGGAGUUUGAAAUUACCGUUGAGAUCUCCAGUCGCCAGCUUUUACUUGUACUUCCAAACAGAAAUCGUUAAAGACUAUUGAAGGUUCAUCUUUUCCUUCUCCUUAAUGUUAGUGUUUUAAUUAUUUGUGAAGAUUUUCUUUAUACAUUCAUGGACCAUAUCAUGUUUGCUUUACUUUUCUUGUUAUUUGGGUCUGAUUAUUCUUGUGUGCUGUGAUUUCUUAAUUUGAUAUCUAAUUGUCUUGUGGUGAUAUUAUUGGACUGGUCAUGUAGUUAAUUUGGUUUGAAUUAUUAUUUGUUAUCAUUAUUAUAAUUUUUUUUAAAAUGAAAGAAUAAAGAAGAAGAAUGAGUUGUUCGAAAUAUCAUGGAGAUUUGAUCUUGAAAAUGUGAUGUGUGUUG